CACAUUAUUGAGUACAUUGAUGAAGUUUGCGCCUGAAUGGGAAGAAUAAUUUCUCACAUCCAAUGUGUGAUGGCUGCUAUAGUUAUGAGACAAGUUCUUAAACAGACCGUAAAAGAAGGGAAUGCAUCAACGACCUUUUAGCAUGAAUAGUUAGUCUCCCCGGGGAUAAGGAUUGAUCAUAGUAGAGGUAUAUCGUUACUCUGAAAAUAUUUCACAACUCAUUUGUUUUUUUGCAUAAACAUAACUCCAAAUUUCAGAAGAUAUGAGAAGUUUGAUGUUCCAAUGGCCUACACUAUAGAGCAACAAUUAUUUAUGUUGGAAUAGCUUGGUCUGCAAGUUUUUACCACUACCAUUUGUUCUUGACUUCUUUCAUGGGUUUUGGUUAGUAUAUGCAGGGAUUUGUUCUUCGGUUGGUUUACAAGAGGGAACUUUACUAUGAAAAAGGGAAGAAGCUUGGGAAAAAAAGAACAAGAGAAGAUCAUGAUCAGCUAAAAUAGAGUAUACUGGAGGGAGCUACUGAUUCAGAAGAUGCUCAUCACAAAGACUUCCUUUACGCUUGUUAGACAAUAGACACCAAUUUUCUUUUCUUUCAGUUUAAUUUUCUUAUUUGUUUGGUUGUCGGAUCAGAUUAAAAGAUACCACGAACUCUCCUAAAAAAACCGGAGUAUACUUUUCAACUGCAAUAGCAGGAGCAGAUUGAUGAUUGUGAAGCAUGAACCCGAGUAUUGGAAAUAUGUAGAGGAAGGAUAAACCUGAGAGAGACACUACUUUGCCAACCGAGAUAUGCCAGAAACUUGAAGACCAUUUGAGCUAGUGAGAUCAAUUAGAGGACCAGAUUCAUCCAAUCAUUGAUAAGUGCCAGUACCAACCUGAUAAACGAGAUACAGCAACAUCUAUGUCAGCCCACAAAGCACGAUGAGUACUUGAUCAGCCUCUUCCACAUCCAGUUUCACGAACCCGGAAAAUCUGCAUCCCAAAACAAAAUAUCGGUGCAUUCAUGCAUACAUCCAUACAUGCAUUCAUGCAUACAUCCAUACAUGCAUUCAUGCAUACAUCCAUACAUGCAUUCAUGCAUACAUCCAUACAUCCAUACAUGCAUUCAUGCAUACAUCCAUACAUGCAUACAUUUUAUACAUUCAUACAUGCAUACACAUGCAUAUAUAUUUGCUUUCUUGAUUUAUUGAUUAGGUCAUUGCUUGCUACUUUAGUACAUUUGUUAAUAACUUGUUCUUGUUUGUUUCUUGUGCUUAUCUCAGUUUGUAACGUGCUUGCUUGUUUCUUGCACUGAUUGCUUACAUGUUUAACUUGUUCACUUUAUUCCUUCUUUGUUUCAUUGAUUAUUUGAUCGUUGCUUGACUUGUUUGUUUGUUUCCUUCUUGGUUCCUUGAUUUACUUUACUUCAUUGGGCAGCCUUCUUCUUGGAUACUCGCUUACUUAGUUGUUUCAAUCAAUUUCUUUACACACUCGUUUGCUUGUUUCCUGAUCCUCUGGUUUUUCUUUUUCUUUUUUACUUUCGUCGUCACUAUUUCUUACAUGAACUUCUCUACUUGUUUCGUUGUUUGCUUACGAUUUUCAUUUGGUUACUCGCUUUCUUUUGCUUUCUUUACUCCUUCCAUAGUUCCAUUGCUUGCUUAGACGUAAUUGUUUAAGAAAAAAUCUCCACAACAUCCUCUUUGUUCUUGCAAACUCCAUUACUUAAUUCCGUUUAUGCGUAUCUUUUAAAAUAUCUACAACUCUUUAGCGAAAUUUUAUAAUCCACACUAUACAAUUUAAUUCGUUUUAUAUAUGACAUGUUUAGCAAAAAAAAAU
rnacentral:sRNA from 1 species